rnacentral:rRNA from 1 species
UAUCUCUGUAGAGUCUGCAUAUCAAUAAGCGGAGGAAAAGAAACUAACAAGGAUUCCCUUAGUAACGGCGAGUGAAGCGGGAAGAGCUCAAAUUUGAAAUCUUCAAGGUUCUACCUUGACGAAUUGUAGUUUAAAGAAGUGUUUUCUGUUAGAUGAGUAGCAAAAGUUCCUUGGAAUGGGACAUCAUAGAGGGUGAGAAUCCCGUAUUUGGUUACAUUCAUUCUAGCGUUGUGAUACACUUUCAAAGAGUCGGAUUGUUUAGGAAUGCAGUCCAAAAUGGGUGGUAAAUUUCAUCUAAAGCUAAAUAUUGGCGAGAGACCGAUAGCGAACAAGUACCGUGAGGGAAAGAUGAAAAGAACUUUGAAAAGAGAGUUAAACAGUACGUGAAAUUGUCAAAAGGGAAGCGUUUGACACCAGUGUUGUUUUCUCGAAAAUCAAUUAAAAAAAGUUGGAUUUUGUAUUGUUAAGACCUUAUCAGCUUACUGUACUCUUUUCUUGCUUUUUUUAAUGCACUUUUCGUUUAACAAGUCAACAUCAAUUUCUUUUGUUGUAAAAGAGUCAUUGGAAGGUGGCUUUCACUUCGGUGAAAGUGUUUAUAGCCUUUGGCUUCUGCAAUCGGAGAGAUUGAGGUCUGCAGCGUAGAUCCUACGGGGCUAGAUACGUAGAUGCUAAGUUAUAGUUUUUUAUAGACAACUUGUUGACUAUAAUUAAUCAUGUAGCUUACUCGUUUGCGCUAUUUUACCUACGCUUAGGAUGUUGACGAGACUGUCGAUCUC